ACCGGCGCACGGGUGAGUAACACGUAUCCAACCUGCCGAUAACUCGGGGAUAGCCUUUCGAAAGAAAGAUUAAUAUCCGAUAGGAUAUCAAGGUCGCAUGAUCUUGAUAUUAAAGAAUUUCGGUUAUCGAUGGGGAUGCGUUCCAUUAGUUAGUUGGCGGGGUAACGGCCCACCAAGACGACGAUGGAUAGGGGUUCUGAGAGGAAGGUCCCCCACAUUGGAACUGAGACACGGUCCAAACUCCUACGGGAGGCAGCAGUGAGGAAUAUUGGUCAAUGGACGAGAGUCUGAACCAGCCAAGUAGCGUGAAGGAUGACUGCCCUAUGGGUUGUAAACUUCUUUUAUAUGGGAAUAAAACAGGGUAUGCAUACCCUCUUGUAUGUACCAUAUGAAUAAGGAUCGGCUAACUCCGUGCCAGCAGCCGCGGUAAUACGGAGGAUCCGAGCGUUAUCCGGAUUUAUUGGGUUUAAAGGGAGCGUAGGUGGAUUGUUAAGUCAGUUGUGAAAGUUUGCGGCUCAACCGUAAAAUUGCAGUUGAAACUGGCAGUCUUGAGUACAGUAGAGGUGGGCGGAAUUCGUGGUGUAGCGGUGAAAUGCUUAGAUAUCACGAAGAACUCCGAUUGCGAAGGCAGCUCACUGGACUGCAACUGACACUGAUGCUCGAAAGUGUGGGUAUCAAACAGGAUUAGAUACCCUGGUAGUCCACACAGUAAACGAUGAAUACUC
rnacentral:rRNA from 1 species